CGGUACCGUCAUCUGUAAUGCUUUCUCUGCAAUACAUUAUUCUUCCCGUAUAAAAGGACUUUACAACGUUUCCGCCUUCGUCAUCCACGCGGCGUCGCUCCGUCAGGAUUGCUCCCAUUGCGGAAGAUUCUUA
rnacentral:rRNA from 1 species